GUCAAUUCAGAAUUCUAAUUAGCAUCAAGUAGCCAACAAUCCAAAAGGGGUACCAUGACUGUUACAAUAUAGUCUUACAAACCAUUUCAAGUCUAAAUUGCAUAUAUAAGUUAGCCAUUAAAGUCAAGGCUUAAUUGGAACAAAAGUAUGUAGUCUAAACGGAGAUAAUUAAACGAAGUCAAGAAGACAUAUGGAGUCAUCUAUUCAUUCAUUUUUCUUCAGAUUUAAAGAACAUAGCACUACUGCUUCUUUCUUUUUUCUUCAUUCUGCAAUGCGUUUUCUAUUCAGGCUUUGUUACUGGGAUUCAACCCUGUCAAAUGUAGUGCAUGCAGCCGAUGCUUCUUUUCCUCCUGUGAUGUUUCCUUUAAGUUCCUGCAUCAAGUAUUUUGCAUAGAUAUACUUUAGACAUAAACUUAAAACUUUCACUCUUUAAUUAUCAAGAAAUUAGGUCUUUAAGCCUCUCAAAACAUUUGUUCAAAAUCCGAGAUUAGCUUCUUCAGUAUUUAUAGGCUCAUAUUUAAAUAUGCCAAUGUUUUUGGGAUCUUGUGAAAGAACAGUAUAUAAUGGUUAAAUGUCUGCAGAGCAAGACUAUAAAGACUACACACAGACACACACUCUCUGCUAAUUAGUGUCUCCUAUUAUUUACCCUGAAGAGCCGAUGAGAGUUGCAGAUAUAAGCAGAUAUUCCAAGUAUGACGGUAUAUCUAGAUGAAUUCUCACCACUUUAAUCAUAGACAGAUACUCUCCACUCCAGCUGGCUGAAUGAGAAACUCAUUGUCCUGCAUGCAAUAAUCACAAUAGCUUUAGAAUCACAAGUGCACCCAUUAGAUGCAAAAGACUGUGCAAAUGAAUCAAACCAGCUGAUCAGGAAGUUUCUCAGGUUUAAUAUGGUCAGCAGGUACUGCAGUAGUGUC
rnacentral:lncRNA from 1 species